rnacentral:ribozyme from 1 species
UAGUAUUUUUCCCGUCCGGUUUUUUUUGGUUUUUUUUUUUUUUUUUUUGCUGUUUGUUGUUCUCC